UUCUUCAAAGCGAUCGGAGUCUUCAAAUGAAAACCUCUCCCCGUCCUCCCACUCUGCGAACAUGAGUUCCAUCACAUCCGACAGGCGACGUGGGGGAAAAGAAGAAAGACAGGAACAGCACUGCUCACUUUUAACAGGCACUGACCACAGAAGAGCACUGCAGGACUGAUGGGAUGAGAGGAUGCCUGCUGACCCAUGGAAGGCCCCCUGAAAUGCCUGAACUCCACUUGCACGAGCAAGAAGGGAAAUGUAGGAGAAGAAGACAGGAGAGCAAUACGGGAACAGAACAUGACCGAAUUCCUUCAGCACGUUCGAAGACGGGCGGAGGCGAGCGCAGGCGGUGGCGCACAGCCCUCAGCCCGCUCCUCGCCCCGUGUCCCCUCCUCUCACAGCCUCCCCGGGCUCCAGGUACGCGCUGCUGCCAGCGCCAGCCUCCGCCUCCCCGCCCCUCCUGCCCAGCGGCGGGGCCAGCCGCCCGCUCCGCUCCUCUCCUGCGAUGCUCCGUCCUUCCCAGCCGCCUUCUCCUCCUCUGCCCAAGGCACGAAAGGAGCUCAGGCUGCGUCCUACUGCAAAGCCCCCAGCAACAACUGGAAAGGCAACGGCGUGUGCGCGCACAUUUGCCAGAGAUUAGACUUCUUGGAAGGAAUCUGGACUUUAUCCCCCCCACCGCUGCCUCCUCGAUUAGCAGCUUGCAGCUUCCCGAGGUCAGCUCUCCUGAGAUCUGAACCCAGGUAAAUGGGACCCAGAAAACUAUGUCAAGAGGCUUCCAGAUCUCCCCCGGAAAGCCCACAGGUGGCACAGCCCUCUCUCUCUCCAGGGUGCCUUGCUCAUUUUCAGCCCUGUACCAUGGGUAUUGCCACCAGAGAACUUUGCCAUCAAGCGCCUCCUUGACCUUGGGCUAUAUUUUCCCUUAAUUGGCUAGGAUGCUUUCCAGAGGGUUAAUCAUUAUUAUAUUACCAUGAACAAUCACAUCCCAUGGAGGAUUUUAGUGUUUUCAGCUCACUGGUCCUUCAUAUGAAUUAGGGUUCAAGGCUACAAGCUUUAAACUAUUAAAUCUAAGAAGGCAGUCAGUUAAUUUGAAGCUGCUCAGUCUUGGAAAUCUUUUUUUUUUUACACAUUCCUGGUGCUGCUUCUCAGCUCAGUCUAAUGGGCAUUUCCUGUAUUUAUAUUCUGAUUUUGGAGCAACGAACUCAUGGUAUUAUACAGCAUGAAACAUGAAGGUCACCUUAAGAAAUGAGCUCACUUCUGGCCAAGUCCGCAGAGUAGCACUUCCAAAGACACCUUCAGCAUAAAAACAAGGAGCUGCUAAAAAUCUACUGACUUGACAAAAAGCCUUUUUCCUUCCUUCACUUUUGCCCAUUACUCACUUCAAGUGACAGUUUUGUGUUGCCUCAUCCUCAGUCACUCAUCAAAGGCAAGGAAAUUUCCCUACAUACUGGAUCUUUUACAGUCACUAAGUGGUAGAAAGAAGCUGUUUCUGGAGUGGAUUUGGCCAAGAAUUACACUCAGUCAAUUAGGAGCAAAUCUCCUAUAUCCUCAUAGUCAGGGAGGCAGACGAUCAGGGCAGCAGGGGAUGGAAAUAGCUUAGAUGCUACAUCACACUGUCACUCUCAGGCAGCAGUAGCACAAAGGAGCAGAACAAAAAUAUGGGACUGUGUUGGAAUUCAGAACCACUUACUCCACUGAACAAACACAAGGAAAAGAUAUACUGGAAACAGGAAUAAAAAUUCCAUUAGCAUUCAGAGAAAUUAGCUCCUUACUAGAGGCUGUUGAUGCUCAUUCAGAACUCUGCCCCACGAGGCACCCCCUGUUCAGACACACAGGCUUUAACACCUCUAGCAAAAGCCUGCACGGGAUUUCUCUCACAGUACUUUCUAAGAUGCCUCCCUCUCAAGGCAAAGUUUUCCCAAAUAAAGUGAUUUAAUAGAUAAAAUAAUUUUAAAGAAAACACAGACCACUACACCAAAAGCAAUACAAGUCCAAGCCUGUAUUCACUUUCUGGAAGAAUGAUGAACUGGGAAGAUAAAGUAGGUUUUGCAGUUGUCUCCUCUCCAGCAUGUCCUGUUUUGGAACUAUUUACUUCUUACCAAGACUACUUGGGUUUUCUCCCACAUGUAAUGACAUCCCUAGAGAGAGGUGGAUCUCAGAUUCUCGAAAGCUUCUCAUGACUUCUCUCCAAGGUGGAGAGGAAGACCUAAAAGGGAAUUAUACCAAUAGAACUAUGGCAGUUUUGAUCAGUAAUGUAUCUACAGAUAAGGUAAAACAUCCUGAACUUUCUUGUAUGGGCAGAUGUGUAGUUGUAAAUAUCUAAAUGUGCUAUUUAACAGUAGUCACCUUCUUACCCUGUUAUAUGCAUAGUUCUAUUAAGUAAGUCUAUUAUUCUCUACAUAAUCUGUCUUGAUUUCGACAGAUUUUUCUGUAUUGACCCUUCUGAACAAGAAAUGCAAUCUUUUAAAAUGUCCCUGGCUCUCUGGAAUUCAGCCUAUUUCUCCUGAACUGGCAGGACAACUAUUCAUCAGGACCAACUCAAAUAUUAAUGCUACCUCCACAGUGAACAUCUAAAAGGAGCAGUUAACAGCAACCAUAUGCAGGGCUGGUAUAAUAGUCAAGCUAUAAGGUACAGGAAUAAGAUCAAGGAAUUCCAGCAGAUCUGCUUAAAGCCUGUAAAUCCGACUUAGGAGGGUAGAACAGCUAGUCAGCUUUUGUUUAAUUCUUUCCUCACCACGCAAUCAUAUACAGGUCUCUGCAGCUAUGUUCUUAACCAGUUUGCUCAACACCAGAACAGAGUUUUCUUUACCCCCCAGCAACAGGAUCAUGGGGUGGUACAAACCCCAGCUCAGAAAGAACAGUGCCUUUCCCUGUGGGUACACACACAAACUAUUAAUUGAGUGAUCCUCAGUGUGAGCAUGUCACAGAAUGCAUUUAAACACCCACUAUAAGCUUAAUGGUGAGAGACAGGAAAAUGGCCAGCAGCUGAAACUGCCAAGGACAAUCUGUAACUGGAGGGGUUUUGGUUACAACACAAGAAGCAAAAGAGUUGCUCAAGUACUUUUAAAGAAAGGACUGUAAAACCUGGGUGCACCUGAAAAACAUUGUUUCCUUCCUCUCAAUAAAUAAAAGGAUUAGAAAACCUUAGUAAUUUCACAAAUUUUUGAAUUUGUGAAGCCCACCAUGAAGCAGUAUAAUGCAAAAAUAGUGGUUCAGAUUAGUGGGAGCUGUCCAAAAUUUCAAAAGUAAAAAUAGAAAAAGGUAUUAAGUGUCUCUGUUACAGCCUCUUAUGCAAGACUGUUUCUCACAGACACUAGAAUUCGGUACAUUCAGCACAGGUGCUAUCUUAAGAGAUGCAUAACUACUUCUGUUCCAAAUCUGAACAUGAAGAAAAAUCAUCAUCAAUAGAGGUGAAUCAGUUUCUCACCCCUAAUCCUCCAGAAAUGAAGGAACAGCAAGUAGCAUUCCUUUUCACAGUUAUCUUCUGGAGAAAAAAUUGCAAAAUAUCACAGAACCAAAGUGUUUUCACAAACUCAGAUGUGGAUAUAGUGCUCUUACUGACCCCAAGUCCUCAGAAAGACCCAAUUACACCAUAAUACCAACAAAAGAAUAAGCUACCCUGUGGAUAAUCCACUAACAAGCCACUGUAAUUAACAGCUAAGCAAACGUUGCUUCAGUAACUUGAAAGCCUUCAUCUGGUCAAAAUUUUUGUGAUGAACAGGUAUCAGCCUGGGGCUCCAGGACUCAGCUCCAGCCAACUCUGCAGCCAACCACAGGUAAUCACACAGUAUGUGUGUACCUGACUCUCCUCUUACGCUGCUUUUCCUGCACACCUGAAAGAAUUACUGAUAGAAAUGGUUAUAACAUCAGUUAUCUGAGACACUGCAUUUUCCCCAGCAAUUAGGUACUGGUCCCAAGAACCUGCCUGUAGUUUUGUGGUACUG